UACGUAGGGUGCAAGCGUUGUCCGGAAUUAUUGGGCGUAAAGAGCGUGUAGGCGGCUAGGUAGGUCCGUUGUGAAAACUCGAGGCUCAACCUCGAGACGUCGAUGGAAACCAUCUAGCUAGAGUCCGGAAGAGGAGAGUGGAAUUCCUGGUGUAGCGGUGAAAUGCGCAGAUAUCAGGAAGAACACCCGUGGCGAAGGCGGCUCUCUGGUACGUGACUGACGCUGAGACGCGAAAGCGUGGGGGAGCGAACAGG
rnacentral:rRNA from 1 species